GCACUUGUAGCUCAGUGGAUAGAGCAGUGGCUUCCGAAGCCAUGUGUCGGGGGUUCGAGUCCCUUCAGGUGCA
rnacentral:tRNA from 2 species